rnacentral:lncRNA from 1 species
GAAUAGGAACAGCUCCGGACUACAGCUCCCAGCGUGAGCGACGCAGAAGACGGGUGAUUUCUGCAUUUCCAUCUGAGGUACCGGGUUCAUCUCACUAGGGAGUGCCAGACAGUGGGCGCAGUUUGAUCUCAGUUACUCCCUUACUUGAAGAAGGCUUCGAUGAUUCCUCAUGGAGAAAUCCCAGAUACUUCUGCACAUGAUUCAGAGGUCCCUUACAACUGGCUUCAGCCUGCCUUCCAAGCCCUGUCUCUCGCCUCUCCCUUCCUUCACACUGUGCUUCAGCGAGUGCUGUGUUUUUUGCAAAUGGACGGUUUGG